AUUGAACGCUGGCGGCAUGCUUUACACAUGCAAGUCGAACGGCAGCGCGGGGGCAACCCUGGCGGCGAGUGGCGAACGGGUGAGUAAUGCAUCGGAACGUAUCCUGUAAUGGGGGAUAACGUAGCGAAAGUUACGCUAAUACCGCAUACGCUCGAGAGAGGAAAGUGGGGGAUCGCAAGACCUCACGUUAUAGGAGCGGCCGAUGUCCGAUUAGCUAGUUGGUGGGGUAAAGGCCUACCAAGGCGACGAUCGGUAGCUGGUCUCAGAGGAUGAUCAGCCACACUGGGACUGAGACACGGCCUAGACUCCUACGGGAGGCAGCAGUGGGGAAUUUUGGACAAUGGGCGAAAGCCUGAUCCAGCCAUGCCGCGUGCGGGAAGAAGGCCUUCGGGUUGUAAACCGCUUUAGUCCGGGAAAAAGGGGUGCGAGGAUAAUACCCUUGUGCUUUGAUGGUACUGGAAGAAUAAGCACCGGCUAACUACGUGCCAGCAGCCGCGGUAAUACGUAGGGUGCGAGCGUUAAUCGGAAUUACUGGGCGUACAGCGUGCGCAGGCGGUCUUGUAAGACAGUCGUGAAAGCCCUGGGCUUAACCUGGGAACUGCGAUUGUGACUGCAAGGCUAGAGUGUGUCAGAGGGGGGUGGAAUUCCACGUGUAGCAGUGAAAUGCGUAGAGAUGUGGAGGAACACCGAUGGCGAAGGCAGCCCCCUGGGAUAACACUGACGCUCAUGCACGAAAGCGUGGGGAGC
rnacentral:rRNA from 1 species